rnacentral:rRNA from 1 species
AGAAUCAACGCUGGCGGCGUGCCUCAGACAUGCAAGUCGAACGAUUAAACUUUCCUUCGGGAAAGAUAUAAAGUGGCGCACGGGUGAGUAACACGUAAGUAAUCUACCUUUGAGUGGGGAAUAACCCGGGGAAACCCGAGCUAAUACCGCAUAAUGCAGCGGCAUCGCAAGAUGACAGUUGUUAAAGGAGCAAUCCGCUUAAAGAGGAGCUUGCGGCAGAUUAGCUAGUUGGUAAGGUAAUGGCUUACCAAGGCUACGAUCUGUAACCGGUCUAAGAGGACGGUCGGUCACACUGACACUGAAUAACGGGUCAGACUCCUACGGGAGGCAGCAGUCGGGAAUUUGGGCAAUGGGCGAAAGCCUGACCCAGCAACGCCGCGUGAAGGAUGAAGUAUUCGGUAUGUAAACUUCGAAAGAAUAGGAAGAAUAAAUGACGGUACUAUUUAAUAAGGUACCGCUAACUACGUGACCCUAGCAGCCGC